UACGUAGGGUCCGAGCGUUGUCCGGAAUUAUUGGGCGUAAAGAGCUCGUAGGCGGUUUGUCGCGUCUGCUGUGAAAAUCCGGGGCUCAACCCCGGACUUGCAGUGGGUACGGGCAGACUAGAGUGUGGUAGGGGAGACUGGAAUUCCUGGUGUAGCGGUGAAAUGCGCAGAUAUCAGGAGGAACACCGAUGGCGAAGGCAGGUCUCUGGGCCACUACUGACGCUGAGAAGCGAAAGCAUGGGGAGCGAGCAGG
rnacentral:rRNA from 1 species